UACGUAGGGGGCAAGCGUUAUCCGGAUUUACUGGGUGUAAAGGGAGCGUAGACGGCAGCGCAAGUCCGAAGUGAAAGCCCGGGGCCCAACCCCGGGACUGCUUUGGAAACUGUGAAGCUGGAGUGCGGGAGGGGCAGGCGGAAUUCCCGGUGUAGCGGUGGAAUGCGCAGAUAUCGGGAAGAACACCGGUGGCGAAGGCGGCCUUCUGGGCCAUCACUGACGCUGAGGCGCGAAAGCUAGGGGAGCAAACAGG
rnacentral:rRNA from 1 species